GAUGAACGCUGGCGGCGUGCCUAAUACAUGCAAGUCGAGCGAACAGACGAGGAGCUUGCUCCUCUGACGUUAGCGGCGGACGGGUGAGUAACACGUGGAUAACCUACCUAUAAGACUGGGAUAACUUCGGGAAACCGGAGCUAAUACCGGAUAAUAUAUUGAACCGCAUGGUUCAUUAGUGAAAGACGGUUUUGCUGUCACUUAUAGAUGGAUCCGCGCCGCAUUAGCUAGUUGGUAAGGUAACGGCUUACCAAGGCAACGAUGCGUAGCCGACCUGAGAGGGUGAUCGGCCACACUGGAACUGAGACACGGUCCAGACUCCUACGGGAGGGAGCAGUAGGGAAUCUUCCGCAAUGGGCGAAAGCCUGACGGAGCAACGCCGCGUGAGUGAUGAAGGUCUUCGGAUCGUAAAACUCUGUUAUUAGGGAAGAACAAAUGUGUAAGUAACUAUGCACGUCUUGACGGUACCUAAUCAGAAAGCCACGGCUAACUACGUG
rnacentral:rRNA from 1 species